rnacentral:rRNA from 1 species
CUACGGGGGGCAGCAGGGGCGAAUCUUUUGCAAUGCACGAAAGUGUGACAAAGCGAACCAAAGUGCUUUUCUUUUUGAAAAGCUUUUCUUCACUGUAAAAAGGUGGAGGAAUAAGGACUGGGAGAGAUCGGUGCCAGCCGCCGCGGUAAUACCGACAGUCCAAGUUGCAGCCAACAUUAUUGGGUCUAAAACAUCCGUAGCUUGCCUGUUAAGUUCCCUGUGAAAUUCCGCGUCUCAAGCGUGGAGCGUGCAUGGAAUACUGAUAGGCUCGGGACCGGCAGAUGUGGGGAGUACACUCGAGGUAGUGGUUAAAUACGUUAAUCUUGGGUGGACUAACAAUUGGCGAAGGCACCCUGCAAGGACGGAUCUGACAGUGAGGGAUGAAGGCCAGGGGCGCAAAACGGAUUAGAUACCCUAGUAGUC